rnacentral:rRNA from 1 species
AUUGAACGCUGGCGGCAUGCCUUACACAUGCCAGUCGAACGGUAACAGGUCUUCGGAUGCUGACGAGUGGCGCACGGGUGAGUAAUACAUCGGAACGUGCCCAGACGUGGGGGAUAACGAGGCGAAAGCUUUGCUAAUACCGCAUACGAUCUAAGGAUGAAAGCAGGGGACCGCAAGGCCUUGUGCGUUUGGAGCGGCCGAUGGCAGAUUAGGUAGUUGGUGGGAUAAAAGCUUACCAAGCCGACGAUCUGUAGCUGGUCUGAGAGGACGACCAGCCACACUGGGACUGAGACACGGCCCAGACUCCUACGGGAGGCAGCAGUGGGGAAUUGUGGACAAUGGGCGAAAGCCUGAUCCAGCAAUGCCGCGUGCAGGAUGAAGGCCUUCGGGUUGUAAACUGCUUUUGUACGGAACGAAAAGGCUCUGGCUAAUACCUGGGGCACAUGACGGUACCGUAAGAAUAAGCACCGGCUAACUACGUG